rnacentral:rRNA from 1 species
CCUACGGGUGGCAGCAGUGGGGAAUAUUGCACAAUGGGGGGAACCCUGAUGCAGCGAAGCCGCGUGAGUGAAGAAGUAUCACGGUACGGAAAACUCUAUCUGCAGGGAAGCAAAUGACGGUACCUGACUAAGAAGCCCCGGCUAACUACGUGCCAGCAGCCGCGGUAAUACGUAGGGAGCAAGCGUUAUCCGGAUUUACGGGGUGUAAAGGGAGCGUAGAGGGGUCUGCAGGUCCGGAGUGAACGCCCAUGGCUGAACCAUUGUACUGCCCUUGAAACUGUAGAGCUUGAGUGGGGGAGGGGCAGGCGGAAUUCCUAGUGUAGCGGUGAAAUGCGUAGAUAUUAGGAGGAACACCGGAGGCGAAGGCGGCGUACUGGACCGUAACUGACGUUGAGGCUCGAAAGCGUGGGGAGCAAACAGGAUUAGAUACCCGAGUAGUC